AAAACCAAAAAAAAAAAAAAAUGACCGAAAAAA
rnacentral:sRNA from 1 species